CAAUAGCGUAUAUUAAAGUUGUCGCAGUUAAAAAGCUCGUAGUUGAAUUUCUGGUGGGCGCGCCGGUCUUCCAAGUGUUGUACUGGGCGCAGUCCGCCAUCCUUGUGGAGAGGGCUCGCAUUGAGUUGCGUGUCGGAUCUGCAUCAUUUACUGUGAAAAAAUUAGAGUGUUUAAAGCAGGCUGUCGCUUGAAUACAUUAGCAUGGAAUAAUAAGAUAAGACUUUGGUGGUCUAUUUUGUUGGUUUGCACGCCAAAGUAAUGAUUAAUAGGGAUAGUUGGGGGUAUUCGUAUUCUAUUGCUAGAGGUGAAAUUCUUAAAUUUAUGGAAGACGAACUACUGCGAAAGCAUUUACCAAGGAUGUUUUCAUUAA
rnacentral:rRNA from 1 species